rnacentral:pre_miRNA from 1 species
AGUGGGAUAGCUGGGUCAUAUGGUAGUUCCAUUAUUUCAAGGACUUUCCACUCUGUUUUCUAGAGUGGUUUUACUAAUUUGCCAUCCCACCAACAAU